rnacentral:rRNA from 1 species
GAUGAACGCUGGCGGCGUGCCUAAUACAUGCAAGUCGAGCGAAUGGAUUAAGAGCUUGCUCUUAUGAGGUUAGCGGCGGACGGGUGAGUAACACGUGGGUAACCUGCCCAUAAGACUGGGAUAACUCCGGGAAACCGGGGCUAAUACCGGAUAAUAUUUCGAACUGCAUGGUUCAAAAUUGAAAGGCGGCUUCGGCUGUCACUUAUGGAUGGACCCGCGUCGCAUUAGCUAGUUGGUGAGGUAACGGCUCACCACGGCAACGAUGCGUAGCCGACCUGAGAGGGUGAUCGGCCACACGGGGACUGGAACACGGCCCAGACUCCUACGGGAGGCAGCAGUAGGGAAUCUUCCGCAAUGGACGAAAGUCUGACGGAGCAACGCCGCGUGAGUGAUGAAGGCUUUCAGGUCGUAAAACUCUGUUGUUAGGGAAGAACAAGUGCUAGUUGAAUAAGCUGGCACCUUGACGGUACCUAACCAGAAAGCCACGGCUAACUACGUGCCAGCCGCCGCGGUAA